ACGUGUUCUCAACUUAGGUGGGGCUACCCACUGAGUUUAAGCAUAUCAAUAAGUGGAGGAAAAGAAACUGACAAGGAUUCCCCUA
rnacentral:rRNA from 1 species